CUACGGGGGGCACCAGUGGGGAAUAUUGCACAAUGGAGGAAACUCUGAUGCAGCAACGCCGCGUGGAGGAUGACACUUUUCGGAGCGUAAACUCCUUUUAUAUAGGAAGAAGAUGACGGUACUAUAUGAAUAAGCGCCGGCUAACUCCGUGCCAGCAGCCGUGGUAAUACGGAGGGCGCAAGCGUUACUCGGAAUCACUGGGCGUAGAGAGCGUGUAGGCGGAUUAAAAAGUCAGAAGUGAAAUCCUAUAGCUUAACUAUAGAACUGCUUCUGAAACUCUUAAUCUAGAAUAUGGGAGAGGUAGAUGGAAUUUCUGGUGUAGGGGUAAAAUCCGUAGAGAUCAGAAGGAAUACCGAUUGCGAAGGCGAUCUACUAGAACAUUAUUGACGCUGAGACGCGAAAGCGUGGGGAGCAAACAGGAUUAGAUACCCUCGUAGUC
rnacentral:rRNA from 1 species